rnacentral:rRNA from 1 species
CCUACGGGCGGCAGCAGUAGGGAAUUUUCGUCAAUGGGCGCAAGCCUGAACGAGCAAUGCCGCGUGAACGAGGAAGGUCUUCGGAUCGUAAAGUUCUGUUGAAGGGGAAAAAGAGCGGAGAGAGGAAAUGGUCUCCGAUUGAUAUUACCCUUCGAGGAAGUCACGGCUAACUACGUGCCAGCAGCCGCGGUAAUACGUAGGUGGCGAGCGUUAUCCGGAAUGAUUGGGCGUAAAGGGUGCGUAGGCGGCCUGCUAAGUCUGGAGUGAAAGGUACCGGCUCAACCGGUACAGGCUCUGGAAACUGGCGGGCUAGAGAGCAGGAGAGGGCGGUGGAACUACAUGUGUAGCGGUAAAAUGCGUAGAUAUAUGGAAGAACGCCAGUGGCGAAGGCGGCCGCCUGGCCUGUUACUGACGCUGAGGCACGAAAGCGUGGGGAGCAAAUAGGAUUAGAUACCCCAGUAGUC